AUCUAGCUAACAAGUCUCAAAUAGGACGAAACGUACGUCAAACUGUAU
rnacentral:hammerhead_ribozyme from 1 species